UACGAAGGGGGCUAGCGUUGCUCGGAAUCACUGGGCGUAAAGCGCACGUAGGCGGCUUUCUAAGUCAGGGGUGAAAUCCUGGAGCCCAACUCCAGAACUGCCUUUGAUACUGGGAAGCUUGAGUCCGGAAGAGGUGAGUGGAACUGCGAGUGUAGAGGUGAAAUUCGUAGAUAUUCGCAAGAACACCAGUGGCGAAGGCGGCUGACUGGUCCGGUUCUGACGCUGAGGCGCGAAAGCGUGGGGAGCAAACAGG
rnacentral:rRNA from 1 species